GGGAAGUUGCUCCACCACGGCAACGCUUUACACAGCCAGGAACUGUCGGAUUCUUAGGGCGUUGCGAACAGGCCCGUUGUCGUGUUGAAGGAGCCUCGAGUUUUUGGUAUUUUGAACUUUACGGACACGGCGCGUAUUUACAGUACUUGUAUGGGUCUCCAUAGGUUGUGUAGGUGUGCCGACUGAGACCAGUCGUCGUGUAGCCUCAUAUGUUAUUCUUUUAAACCGUAAAACCGACUCACUGCUCGUUCCGAAUGACUUGGAUUUCAUCGGUGCAACUUUGGACCAGACAAGUCCAACAUUUUCGAAGCAACGCGAUUCAUAUGGCGGCGGAGUUGUGAGACUUCUGCUGCUGACUUCAAUGGAGCGCAUUUAUUUCAGAGACAUCUUUAAUAUAUAGUUUUGGGAUCAUAAAUGUUCAGUCUUGAGUCUUUUAUUGUCGCUUAUUUAAUGUAUACCGGUAAUCUUUUCUUUGGUAAAUGUCCACCGCAGACCCUUUUUGCACCGUUUGAUUCAACCCGGCAUUUGCCGCCUCCUUCUGCUAUCCAUUCCAUUUGUGGCUCUCUUGUUUUACAAUGUAAGCGUAUGAUUGAAUCUGCAGCCACUGCAGUUUUGGAACCGGUAAAUACAACCCACGCUGAAGCUAUAAAAACCCUUUUUUUGCUCAGUAGUUAGUUUUCAAGCUCCAAUAAGGUGAUCAAAACCCUUCUUUGUACACCAGAAGUGUGCGCAUGUGUGAUACUCCAAAUCUGUGCCUUCAUUUCCCUCUGCUGAAUAACUUGACAUGUCUUAGCACCUUUUUUUUUUCUUGAAUGCACUAACUCAACUGUAGGUUUCUUCAUGCUCACCGGUAGAAACCCUGCGAAAACUGCAAUACUCGGCCUAUCAUCCCAGUGCCCACGCAUCUCUGAUGCCACCGGAGAAUUUGAGAGAACGCUUAAUUUCUGGAGAACAAACGAUUGACAUGCAAGUUAGGAAGCGAGUGUGAGGUGAGAUGACACCGUGUAAGCAAAGUGAAGGAUCACCUAAAAACCAGCACUAAGCCUCUUGAAGAAGUUAAAAGAAACUCAUUUGACCUUUGAUGCUAGCCGUCAACAUUUUGCCACCUGGACUUUUGUUUAUGCCUCAUCACACAAAACAUUUUCUCGUGAAAUGGGCCCUUGUUGCUACCCAAGUAACUGACAUCACCUGACCACUGAAAUGUAUUAAUGAACAAAUCUUUUUGUUGUUCUUGUAGCUUAUCCUUUUAAGAUAUUUAUAGUUAUAUACAGUAUUUCAACCACGUUAUCGCGUAUUGUCCCUAUUGUUUGUGAUUGUUUUUGUUACAUGACCUGCUCAUAAAGCCAUUGUCUAUA